rnacentral:rRNA from 1 species
CUACGUAGGGAGCAAGCGUUGUCCGGAAUUACUGGGCGUAAAGGGCGCGUAGGCGGGUAUUUAAGUCAGGUGUGAAAACUCCGAGCUCAACUUGGAGAUUGCACUUGAAACUGGGUAUCUUGAGGGCAGGAGAGGAAAGUGGAAUUCCUAGUGUAGCGGUGAAAUGCGUAGAUAUUAGGAGGAACACCAGUGGCGAAGGCGGCUUUCUGGACUGUACCUGACGCUGAGGCGCGAAAGCGUGGGUAGCGAACGGGAUUAGAUACCCCGGUAGUCCACGCUGUAAACGAUGAAUACUAGGUGUAGUAGGUAUCGACCCCUUCUGUGCCGCAGUUAACACAAUAAGUAGUCCGCCUGGGGAGUCCGAUCGCAAGAUGGAAACUCAAAUGAAUUGGCGGGG